rnacentral:rRNA from 1 species
CACAAGGGGUGGAGUCUGCGGUUCAAUUGGAUACAACGCCGAGAAACUUACCAGGGGCGACGGCAGAAUGAGAGCCAAGCUAAUGACUUUGCUUAACAAGCCGAGAGGUAGUGCAUGGCCGUCGUCAGCUCGUACCGUGAGGCGUGCGGUUAAGUCCGUUAACGAGCGAGACCCGUGCUUUUAUUUGCCAGCUUUCCCGUUGGGGAAGGUGCACUAUAAAAGGACCGCUGGCGAUGAGUCAGAGGAAGGCGCGGUCGACGAUAGGUCUGUAUGCUCCGAAUCUCCUGGGCUACACGUGGACUACAAUGGCACAGACAAUUGGAUGCAACGCCGAAAGGCGAAGCCAAUCCCCUAAACUGUGUCUUAGUUCGGAUCGAGGGUUGAAACUCACCCUCGUGAAGAUGAAAUCCCUAGUAAUCGCUGGUGACUAUCCAGCGGUGAAUAUGUCCCUGCUCC